rnacentral:rRNA from 1 species
UACGGGGGGGGCAAGCGUUGUUCGGAAUUACUGGGCGUAAAGGGCGCGUAGGCGGCCUGCUAAGUCGGAUGUGAAAUCCCUCGGCUCAACCGAGGAACUGCAUCCGAUACUGGCGGGCUUGAAUCCGGGAGAGGGAUGUGGAAUUCCAGGUGUAGCGGUGAAAUGCGCAGAUAUCAGGAGGAACACCGAUGGCGAAGGCAGGUCUCUGGGCCACUACUGACGCUGAGAAGCGAAAGCAUGGGGAGCGAACAGG